AGAGUCCAACCAGAGGGACAAGAAACGUCCACCUGUAAGAGACCAGCGGGGACGUCAAAGGGUAAAGAGGCGACACUCCAGAGACGGAGCCCGGCAGCACAUGGCAUGCGGUGUGGCUCCGUCUCUCGCGACACAGCUCUUCCCAUCGCUGAGACGAGGACGGGAGUCGGACGAGACCUCGGCAGAAGACAGAGACGUACAUCCUGAGGACAAAAAGAUUGACAAAGGUCCAGUGCGAGAGAAUCAGUGACUUGUUAAGAUGAGACUGCAGAUUGUCAUCUGAGGGGUCAGUGAUGAAAUCUAUGGAUGAGACACUUUUUUAACUGAUGAACUGCACUUGUCCUUUUUACUUGGACUUGUUUUGUCCUGAAAGCAUUCAUGAAGUCUACUGCCAUGACAACGUGACUGGCAGAACUGUAGUGUUAAGAGCUUUGAGUGGUCAUGAAGAUUAGAAAAGCACUAUAUACUGUAUGAGUCUUAUUCUAAGGCUAUGAUUAAGUGAUUAUAGUUAGAUAUAGAUUACAGUGAUUAUGCCCUUACACAAGCAUACACAUUGUAUUUCAUUUCCGACAAUAAACCCGCCUAAAUGUGA